AUCUCUCUCUAAACCAAGUGCAGAAACAGGUGCUAACAGCAAGUGGAUCUUGUCGCCUUUGGGGGCUGUCGCUGUGCCCCUCAAAGUGAAUUGGAAGGUUCUAUACUC
rfam:Myotis davidii contig19185, whole genome shotgun sequence.